rnacentral:ncRNA from 1 species
GUGUUGUAUGAAAGGAGAAAAGGUAAGCACUUUACUUACCCUUGGGCCUAACAACACACAUACUGUUUAGGCAUUGCCACCUUCUUCAUGGCAUCUAGCCAC